rfam:Dipodomys ordii contig_32886, whole genome shotgun sequence.
UGGCUCAGUGGUAGAGUGCUUGCCUUGCAUGCAUGAGGCUCUGGGUUCAAUUCCUCAG